rnacentral:rRNA from 1 species
AUGGCCGAAUGCUUCAAUAAGGUGCUCAAACGUGCACGUGGAUUACCCGUGACGACAAUAGUUCAAUACACAUUUGACAAGAUGAAUGCGUGCUUUCUAAAGUACGCAAUGGAAACGGAUGUACAGAUAGCAGGUGAGAACAAGCGCAAGUACAAGUACAAGUUUCCACCAAAGGUUGAUGAAUGGUUGGAAUUUCAAUCACGGAAGGCGGACUCACAAGAAGCUAUACUAUAUGACAAUGAAGAGUGGAAGUACGAAGUGAAAGAGCCAUGAGGAACCACAAACGAUGGCUGCCAACAUGCAGGUCGAGCUUUCAAGGUCUCCUUAACACGGUGUGAUUGCUCUUGCGGGAGGCCAUUGUUGCUUCAUCUCCCAUGCUCACACUUGUAUACUGCCGGUUGUGUUAGGAAUGUGGAUGUCAAUCACCCCACCGUGAGGGAGUCGGAGUUCUCAAUCAUGAUGGUUAAGAAAACAUGGGCUCCCCGCUUUCACCCAUACUUUGACCAAUCACAAUGGCCGGAGUACCAUGGAGUUCAACUAUGGCCGGAUCCGGAGUUGAAGGUUGUUAAAUAG